rnacentral:rRNA from 1 species
GACGAACCGAGCGAACGUUGUUCGGAAUCACUGGGCUUAAAGGGCGCGUAGGCGGCCUGGUCAGUCAGGGGUGAAAUCUUUCGGCUUAACCGGAAAAGUGCCUUUGAUACUACCAGGCUUGAGGGAGAUAGGGGCGUGUGGAACUUCCAGUGGAGCGGUGAAAUGCGUUGAUAUUGGAAGGAACGCCGGUGGCGAAAGCGACACGCUGGGUCUCUUCUGACGCUGAGGCGCGAAAGCUAGGGGAGCGAAC